rnacentral:rRNA from 1 species
AGUGAACGCUGGCGGUAGGCCUAACACAUGCAAGUCGAACGGCAGCACAGUAAGAGCUUGCUCUUACGGGUGGCGAGUGGCGGACGGGUGAGGAAUACAUCGGAAUCUACUUUUUUGUGGGGGAUAACGUAGGGAAACUUACGCUAAUACCGCAUACGACCUACGGGUGAAAGCAGGGGAUCUUCGGACCUUGCGCGAUUGAAUGAGCCGAUGUCGGAUUAGCUAGUUGGCGGGGUAAAGGCCCACCAAGGCGACGAUCCGUAGCUGGUCUGAGAGGAUGAUCCGCCACACUGGAACUGAGACACGGUCCAGACUCCUACGGGAGGCAGCGGUGGGGAAUAUUGGACAAUGGGCGCAAGCCUGAUCCAGCCAUACCGCGUGGGUGAAGAAGGCCUUCGGGUUGUAAAGCCCUUUUGUUGGGAAAAAAAAGCAGCAGGUUAAUACCCCGCUGUUCUGACGGUACCCAAAGAAUAAGCACCGGCUAACUUCGU